CUCAUUGGGUCUGUCCCAAAACCUAGGGAGCUCUCUACAUAGACAGCAUCUUACGUCAUUGGAUGCGCGUUCCCGAGAAGUAGGCUGUCCCAAUUCUUAGAUACCUUAAAAUGCUGUCUACUAAGAUACCUUAUUCUGACCCUGUAAUAAGAGAGCAUUAGACCCUUCCUCAGCCGGUAAGGCAAUCCCAUGAUGCAGCGCGGGGCAGAACAGCGUAGCUCAACUUCUUCCAUCAUGGCGGACGGAAGUGGAUCGGCCAGCGCCGAAGUCAUUUUUAAAUGACUGUUCUUCUGGAAUUGGGGCUUGCGGACAAAGUAAAAGAAAUGGGACAACUUAAAAAAUAAAUACAAUGCUGAACAACAUCUCCCGCUCCCAUGCAGAUGUUGUGCAGAGUGACACAGGCAGCAAUCACCUCUGGCACAAACCUUCGGUUCACUUCUUGAGAAUGCAGGAAAAUUGACCUCCAUCUGGUCUUCAGCAUCCCAAAACCACGUUCAAUUGUAGAACGUGCCCUUGCAUGAUGCCUGUUGAAGGCCACCCUCUCUUCUCCUCUGACAGGCUUCUUGAAUGGAGUGAUGAGGGCUAUGGGCUGAGAGAUACAUGGGGACCCACCAUCACCAAGUAUCAUGUAGCCUCUGGGUGGGAAAGUGGCCUGCCGAUACAAAGUGCUGUAACAGAGCACCCAUGCAUCAUGUACUGAGCCAGGAAAGCCAAUAAAAACAUCAAGAAACUUUGCCUGGUGGUCACAGACAGCCUGAAAUUGCAGGGGUAGAGCUUCCAGUUUCUGUAGCACUGUGCAUCAGGUUCUCCAGGGGCUUUGAUUCGCACAUGGCACCCACUAGUGGAAGCCGCAUGGAUUCCCAGCCUCACAAAGUCAUCAGAGAUGCUCUGCAGUUCUCCAGGUUUUGGGUGCCGGAUAACUUUUCAGAGCACAGUAUCUUGUAGGUCUUUCUCCCUGCAAGAGGGAGAAAUUUAUUUAUUUAGUUAGUUAGUGUGUACAGUUCUUUUGCAAAACAGAAAAGUGAUUUGCUCCUUAGUGUUUAAUAUCACUUAUCUGUUUUGAAAAUUAACUGUUCACACAGGUUCUAUUUAUUUAUGUAUUUAUUUAUUGAUUGAUUGAUUCAUUGUUAAUAAAUUAAUUGUCUGCAUGUGUAUAGUUGUAUCACUUUGAAGUUAGCAUAAAAUAAAAUGCAUAUUUGCAAAAACAGAUGAGUGCUAUUCUUUUAACAAACCUUUCAUGCUUAAAAGACAGCAUUUGUCUGUCUGCAUAUAAACUCCCCCCCCCCCCCCCCACAAUUUUCAAUUAAUUGUAUCAGCUUGAUUAUUAUUUAAUCAAUAUUAAUGUA